rnacentral:rRNA from 1 species
AACGAACGCUGGCGGCAGGCUUAACACAUGCAAGUCGAACGCGUGUAGCAAUACACGAGUGGCGCACGGGUGAGUAACGCGUGGAUAUCUGCCUUUUGGUUCGGAAUAACCCCGGGAAACUGGGGCUAAUACCGGAUGGUUCCUUCGGGAUAAAGAUUUAUCGCCAAAAGAUGAGUCCGCGUACGAUUAGCUAGUUGGUGAGGUAAUGGCUCACCAAGGCGACGAUCGUUAGCUGGUCUGAGAGGACGAUCAGCCACACUGGGACUGAGACACGCCCCAGACCCCUACGGGAGGCAGCAGUGGGGAAUAUUGGACAAUGGGGGCAACCCUGAUCCGGCCAUGCCGCGUGGGUGAUGAAGGCCUUGGGGUUGUAAAGCUCUUUUGGCGGGGACGAUGAUGACGGUACCCGCAGAAUAAGCCCCGGCUAACUUCGUGCCAGCCGCCGCGGUAA